GGAAGUAAAAGUGUAACAAGGUCUCCGUUGGUGAACCAGCGGAGGGAUCAUUACAGAGUUGCAAAACUCCCAAACCAUUGUGAACGUUACCUAUCCCGUUGCUUCGGCGGGCGGCCCGGGCCCCGCGCCCGGCGCCCCCCGGCCCCCCGUGGGCGCCCGCCGGAGGUAAACCAAACCCUUGAAUUGCAUGGCCUCUCUGAGUCUUCUGUACUGAAUAAGUCAAAACUUUCAACAACGGAUCUCUUGGUUCUG
rnacentral:misc_RNA from 1 species